rnacentral:rRNA from 1 species
CCUACGGGAGGCUGCAGUGGGGAAUAUUGCACAAUGGGGGAAACACUGAUGCAGCGACGCCGCGUGAGCGAUGAAGUAUUUCGGUAUGUAAAGCUCUAUCAGCAGGGAAGAAAAUGACGGUACCUGACUAAGAAGCCCCGGCUAACUACGUGCCAGCAGCCGCGGUAAUACGUAGGGGGCAAGCGUUAUCCGGAUUUACUGGGUGUAAAGGGGGCGUAGACGGCGGUGCAAGCCAGAUGUGAAAGCCCGGGGCUCAACCCCGGGACUGCAUUUGGAACUGUGUUGCUAGAGUGCCGGAGAGGUAGGCGGAAUUCGUAGUGUAGCGGUGAAAUGCGUAGAUAUUAGGAGGAACACCAGUGGCGAAGGCGGCCUGCUGGACGAUUACUGACGUUGAGGCUCGAAAGCGUGGGGAGCAAACAGGAUUAGAUACCCUAGUAGUC